UCUAUUAAAGUGCUUUUCGCACAUAAAAAUUUGAUUUUUAUAGAGAUAUAUCAUAUCUAAUU
rnacentral:tRNA from 1 species